UAUCGAGAUAGAGGCGCGAAAACCAUCAGUACUUAUCUGAGCGGGAGCUAGGAAGAUAAGGAAAGGGGAAUUCGCCGAAAUGCUUUCGUCGCCGGAUGAAAGGGUUGGGCGUAUGAAGAAUAUUCAUACGACUGUCACAUUUGUGGAGCACUAUCCAGUUU
rnacentral:ncRNA from 1 species